rnacentral:rRNA from 1 species
UACGUAGGUCCCGAGCGUUGUCCGGAUUUAUUGGGCGUAAAGCGAGCGCAGGUGGUUUAUUAAGUCUGGUGUAAAAGGCAGUGGCUCAACCAUUGUAUGCAUUGGAAACUGGUAGACUUAAGUGCAGGAGAGGAGAGUGGAAUUCCAUGUGUAGCGGUGAAAUGCGUAAAUAUAUGGAGGAACACCGGUGGCGAAAGCGGCUCUCUGGCCUGUAACUGACACUGAGGCUCGAAAGCGUGGGGAGCAAACAGG